UACGGAGGGUGCGAGCGUUAAUCGGAAUUACUGGGCGUAAAGCGCACGCAGGCGGUCUGUUAAGUUAGAUGUGAAAGCCCCGGGCUUAACCUGGGAGUUGCAUUUAAAACUGGCAGACUAGAGUCUUGGAGAGGGGGGUGGAAUUCCAGGUGUAGCGGUGAAAUGCGUAGAGAUCUGGAGGAACAUCAGUGGCGAAGGCGGCCCCCUGGCCAAAGACUGACGCUCAUGUGCGAAAGCGUGGGUAGCGAACAGG
rnacentral:misc_RNA from 1 species